UGAAGGGUAUGGAUGUUACGUUUAAAUCCGUGGGACGGAUUUAAAACGUAAAAGGAUGUAAUGAAUGCCUUUAUAAGUAAGCAUUAAUAUAGGUUUGAAUAUAUAGGGACGAUGAACUAUUACUAGUCGGUCAAGGAAAUAAGAACGUUAUAUGAAAGUAUACCAUGAAAAGUACAGCCUUGUUAAGAAGAAGAAGCCAAUUACAUGAAUAAUUAUGAAAUGAGUUAGGAUGAUUACUUAUGAAUGUGAUGAGGGUGUUAAGCCAAACAUAAAUGUGUGUGUGUGUAGAGGAAAUGAGAAAGGUUUCGGGGACGAAACCUUAUUUAAGGGGGGUAGAUUUGUAACACCCCAAAACCCGAAUAUUUAUAUUCGUUAAAAUGCUGUGAUAUGGUACCUCAAGAAAUAAACAACUAGGCUAAUUAACCUACUUAGAUGUAUGGUUAAAACUAUUAAAAGAUGGAAUGUAAUAAAAUGUUUAACAAAGCAAACAAGGGAACAAACUUGAGGGACCAAAGAUGAACAAGGGGGAAAGUUAUGUCUUAAGUAACAAACACACCCACACAAGCACACACACAUUUCGUGUGUUCUAGAACGAUCAGGGGGAACUCCCCAUGAACCAAACCCUAGUUCUAACACAAUCAUCAAAUUGAGGAGUCAAAUGAAGCUCAAAUUCACAACCAAACAUGAAUUAAGGAUCACCUACUCAAGGGGAUCAUGAGGAAUCAAGCACGGAUGGAUAAUGGGUCAAGAAGUGGCGAGGAAACGAAUAUGAACACGGAUGCAUGAGGUAGUACCAGUCAUGAGGAUAUCCAAGGAUUGGAGAUCGAAGAUCGAGUCACUAGAGAGAUUGUACGGAAACGUUGAUGUACAUAAUGUAGUAAACAUAAGCUAUGUUUUUAACUAGUAAAUAAGAGGAUGAUGGAUUUAUGAGAAAGAACUGUGUUAAAGUUAAAUCUUAAAUAAGUUGAGGUAUUUAUAGUGAAAGAAAUUUUAUGGUA